UACGAAGGGGGCUAGCGUUGUUCGGAAUCACUGGGCGUAAAGCGCACGUAGGCGGAUCUUUAAGUCAGAGGUGAAAUCCCAAGGCUCAACCUUGGAACUGCCUUUGAUACUGGAUGUCUUGAGUGUGAGAGAGGUAAGUGGAACUCCGAGUGUAGAGGUGAAAUUCGUAGAUAUUCGGAAGAACACCAGUGGCGAAGGCGACUUACUGGCUCAUUACUGACGCUGAGGCUCGAAAGCGUGGGGAGCAAACAGG
rnacentral:rRNA from 1 species